ACAAUGGGGGGUACGAGAGGGCCGCUACCACGCGAGUGGAUGCCAAUCCCCAAAACCUCUCUCAGUUCGGACUGGAGUCUGCAACCCGACUCCACGAAGCUGGAUUCGCUAGUAAUCGCGCAUCAGCCACGGCGCGGUGAAUACGUUCCCGGGCCUUGUACACACCGCCCGUCAAGCCAUGGGAGCCGGGGGUACCUGAAGUGCGUAACCGCGAGGAGCGCCCUAGGGUAAAACUGGUGACUGGGGCUAAGUCGUAACAAGGUAUC
rnacentral:rRNA from 1 species